CUCCUUAUCUGACUCGCUUUCUCUGUGUUCGCAGCACUGGACACCAGCCCUCAUGGUGUUCUGGUGAAACCUGGCCACAGUCGGUGCUGCAGGCCGUCUGCUACAUGGAAGAGAUGGUGACGACACCGCAGUGUGAUGGUGCCUCUUAGUGUCUUUGGCAGCUUCUGUUCUUGCCUUGGCAUCCAGCAAGUGAAGGUACUCGGAGGUACCCGGCUUGCUCGCCUUGGCCUGGCACAGCGGGUGUGUGAGCCAUCACAGGCUGCCAUUCACUCGCUGCCUCUGCAGGCUCAGGGCUCCACACCUGAGGGAUGGAGCCACGGCAUGGCCAAGCAUGGGCGCGCACAUGCUGCUCUGCGCCUUGCUUGUUGCUGAGCCUCGGAUCUCUUCCCAUGGGAGCCUCCCGGAUCGCUGUGUGGCUGUGAGCGGCGUCCAGCACCCGUGUGCCGCCGGACUCGGCUGUGUGCUGGCUGACGCUCGGCACUCGCCACCUUGCCUGCUGCAGCAAGAGCACUUCCUGAGGUGCCCUCCCAGCUGCUUUAGCACCAGGCCGUCAGCACCUGAGGUGCCCCCCAAGCCCACAGGACGGGCCCUAAGGCUGAAGAGCUGGAGUGCAGACGGUGAGUCCUCAGUGCCCAGAGAGGCCGAGCAGCGCCUGUUACCUGUGCUGGGAAGAUCUGCUGGCAGGCUGUAGAGAGGUUGUCGCUGGUGUCCUGCUGCUCCGAGUCCAGCACUGGCUGGCCAGCCCUGAGCAGACAGCCUUCCCCAGGCUCCCAAGGGACCAGUGGCAGGGCAGGACACCCCUUCCCUUUGGGUUCACGGCAGCUUGGCCCUGCUCUCCUGUACCCCCAGCUGGGCAUGCCCAGGCCUUCCUCGGGUGGUCCGCCUCCCCUGCUGUUCCUCCGGGGCUCGAGCCACAGCGGCCUGCCUUGGCUCAGCCGGAGCCUUGGCCAGCUCUUUGAAGCCAGAUUGUUCCUGGCUGGGAACUCCUCGUUCU